rnacentral:rRNA from 1 species
CCUACGGGAGGCAGCAGUGAGGAAUAUUGGUCAAUGGACGAGAGUCUGAACCAGCCAAGUAGCGUGAAGGAUGACUGCCCUAUGGGUUGUAAACUUCUUUUAUAAAGGAAUAAAACGAGGCACGUGUGCCUUUUUGCAUGUACUUUAUGAAUAAGGAUCGGCGAACUCCGUGCCAGCAGCCGCGGUAAUACGGAGGAGCCGAGUGUUAUCCGGAUUUAUUGGGUUUAAAGGGAGCGUAGAUGGGUUGUUAAGUCAGAUGUGAAAGUUUGCGGCUCAACCGUAAAAUUGCAAUUGAUACUGGCGGUCUUGAGUACAGGUGAGGUAGGCGGAAUUCGUGGUGUAGCGGUGAAAUGCUUAGAUAUCACGAAGAACCCCGAUUGCGAAGGCAGCUUACUAAACUGUGACUGACAUUGAUGCUCGAAAGUGUGGGUAUCAAACAGGAUUAGAUACCCCUGUAGUC